ACCCGCUGAACUUAAGCAUAUCAUUAAGCGGAGGAAAAGAAACUAACUAGGAUUCCCUCAGUACGGGCGACGGAAGCGGGAAAAGCCCAAAAUGGAAAUCUCCAGGCAAAGUCUGGCGAAUUGUAAUCUGAAGAUAGUUAGCCUAACCGGGAGAGACGCAGAACUACCCACGAGUGGGAGGCCAAAGAGGGUGAGAGCCCCGUAUGUGGUGUCUAGACCGACCUGGCUGGCAGUCAAAGAGUCGUGUACUCUGAUACGAGUGCACUAAGCGGGAGAUAAACUUCUUCUAAGGCUAAAUAUGUGUAGGAAACCGAUAGCGAACAGGUACUGUGAAGGAAAGAUGAAAAGCACUUUGAAAAGAGAGUUAAAAGACUUGAAAUCGUUGAGGCGGAAGCGGUAGAAAUGAAUUCUACGGCGUCGCUCAGAGGUGCGGAGACAAAAAUCCGAGCUGUACAGCGGCGUAGUGAGGCAAGAUGGAGUCGAAUGAUGCCAGAAGCGGUCAAGAGAAGGGCGAAAGUCAAUCUAGGCUGGCUGGGUGUCAAACGGCUUGAGGGGCCUUGUGCGAUCUUGUCAAAAUGGUUUUUACCGACCCGUCUUGAAACACGGACCAAGGAGUCUAAGACUAUCGCGAGUAUGGUGGUGGAGAAACCAACAUGCGAAAUGAAAGUAAAUGAUGCCAAGCGCAAGCAGCAGCAUCGACCGACCAUGAUCCAAUGGUGAAAGGUUUGAGUAAGAGCGUUAUUCUUAGGACCCGAAAGAUGGUGAACUAUGCCUGUGUAGACUGAAGUCAGGGGAAACUCUGAUGGAAGGUCGUCGCGAUACUAACGUGCAAAUUGUUCGUCUGACAUGGGUAUAGGGGCGAAAGACUAAUCGAACCAUCUAGUAGCUGGUUCCCUCCGAAGUUUCCCUCAGGAUAGCUGGGACAAGUACGCAGUUUUAUUAGGUAAAGCGAAUGAUUAGAGGCCUGGGGGGUAGAAUGCCCUUCACCUAUUCUCAAACUUUAAAUUGGUAAGAGCUCCGGUCUUUCUUAAAUGAGACACGGAGGCUCAAUGCGUGUCCUUAGUGGGCCAUUUUUGGUAAGCAGAACUGGCGAUGAGGGAUGCUCCUAACGUCUGGUUAAGGUGCCAAACUACACGCUCAUCAGAAACUACAAAGGGUGUUAGUUCAUAAAGACAGCAGGACGGUGGCCAUGGAAGUCGGAACCCGCUAAGAAGUGUGUUACAACUUACCUGCCGAAUGAACUAGUCCCGAAAAUGGAUGGCGCUAAAGCGUGUGACCGAUACCAGACCAUUGGCGCGAGAGUGAGGCGUCAAUGAGUAGGAGGGCGUGAGCGUCGUGGAGAAGCCUCUGGCGUAAGCCUGGGUAGAACGGCGUUUAGUGCAGAUCUUGGUGGUAGUAGCAAUUAUUCAAAUGAGAACUUUGAAGGCCGACGUGGAGAAGGUUUCCGUGAGAACAGCAAUUGGUCACGGGUGACUCGAUCCUAAGACAUGGGGGAAAUCCUUGUUAAGUGUGCGCUAGCACGUAGUCGAAAGGGAAUGAGGUUAAUAUUCCUCAAGCUGGAUGUGGACGUUAAGUGGCAACACAAACGAACUUAGAGACGCCAGUAUGAGCCUCUGGAAGAGUUAUCUUUUCUUUUUAACAGACUAGCGACCCUGAAAUUGGAUUACCCAGAGAUAGGGUGGCAUGUCUGGAAGAGUACCAUGCUUUUCGUGGUAUCAGGUGCGCUCAUAAUGGUCCAUGAAAAUCUAAGUGAGAUAGUUUCACACCAGGUCGUACCCACAACCGCAUCAGGUCUCCAAGGUU
rnacentral:rRNA from 1 species